UACGUAGGGUGCGAGCGUUAAUCGGAAUUACUGGGCGUAAAGAGUGCGUAGGCGGUUUCUCAAGUCCGCUGUGAAAUCCCCGGGCUCAACCUGGGGGCGGCACUUGAGACGUAGGAACUGGAGUGAGGAAGAGGGUCGUGGAAUUCCCAGUGUAGAGGUGAAAUGCGUAGAUAUCAGGAGGAACACCGGUGGUGUAGACGGCUCUCUGGACCGUAACUGACGCUGAGACACGAAAGCGUGGGUAGCAAACAGG
rnacentral:rRNA from 1 species